ACAAUCUUCCCAAAAUCUCUCA
rnacentral:siRNA from 1 species